UACGUAGGGUGCGAGCGUUGUCCGGAAUUAUUGGGCGUAAAGGGCUCGUAGGCUGUUUGUCGCGUCGGGAGUGAAAUCCACUGGCUUAACUGGUGGCUUGCUUUCGAUACGGGCAGACUGGAGGUAUGCAGGGGAGAACGGAAUUCCUGGUGUAGCGGGGAAAUGCGCAGAUAUCAGGAGGAACACCGGUGGCGAAGGCGGAUCUCUGGGCCUUACCUGACGCUGAGGAGCGAAAGCAUGGGGAGCAAACAGG
rnacentral:rRNA from 1 species